rnacentral:rRNA from 1 species
AUUGAACGCUGGCGGCAGGCCUAACACAUGCAAGUCGAACGAGUGGCGGACGGGUGAGUAAUGUUUGGGAAACUGCCUGAUGGAGGGGGAUAACUACUGGAAACGGUAGCUAAUACGGCAUACCAUCAGAUGUGCCCAGAUGGGAUUAGCUAGAGGGUGGGGUAACGGCUCAACUAGGCGACGAUCCCUAGCGGGUCUGAAAGGUUGACCAGCCACACUGGAACUGAGACACGGUCCAGAAUCCUAGGGGAGGCAGCAGUGGGGAAUAUUGCACAAUGGGCGGAAGCCUGAUGCAGCCAUGCCGCGUGUAUGAAGAAGGCCUUCGGGUGAUAAAAUACUUUUGGCAGGGAGGCGUUAACCACAGAAGAAGCACCGGCUAACUACGUGCCAGCCGCCGCGGUAAUAC